GUUUCCUCAUCUGUGACAUGGGGAUAGCAACAAGAGCUACUUUCAGAGUCAUAGUGGGAACAAAUGAGGAAAUGUGCAAGGAGAAGAAGAAGAAGACGAUGACACCGGUUCCAGGCCAGGAAAACUUGGACUGGCAGCAAACUUCUCUCCUCAAUACCUGAGUGACUUUGGAGAGCCACCUGCUUUUAAGAGUUUCAUCUGUAAAAGGAAGAGAAUCAGAGCUUCUUCACAGAAAAGAAAGAGAAGACAAACUACUCCAGCCAAAUAACCGAGCCUCAGUUGAGUCAGUAAGUGGCAGCCUUAAUUGCUGUCUAUUAACA